UCCAUUGCGGCAUUAAGUAAGGAGUUGGAGGAAAUCAAGGCGCAUCCACUUCGUCAUCUCAGUCUCUUUUUGUGCAAAGAGGUAGAAAAGAUUCCGACCUUCUAGCCUCGAGUAGUGGACAGUGUAUCAUUGAUAGCGGUGCUAUUGAUCACUACUCUGGUAUGAGUACCAUUUUCUCUUCACUUAAGCCAUCAACAUCAUUGGGUAAGCUAAAGCUUGCUGAUGGCUCUACUACUCCCAUUGUUGGGAGUGGUACUGUAAAAGAAAACCAUCUCGUCCUUACCC
rnacentral:lncRNA from 1 species